UACAGGGGGUGCAAACGUUGCUCGGAAUCAUUGGGCGUAAAGCGCACGUAGGCGGUUCGUUAUGUCGGAUGUGAAAGCCCUUGGCUUAACCGAGGAAGUGCAUCCGAAACUGGCGAGCUAGAGUACUAAAGAGGAUCGCGGAAUUCCCGGUGUAGAGGCGAAAUUCGUAGAUAUCGGGAGGAACACCGGUGGCGAAGGCGGCGAUCUGGGUAGAUACUGACGCUGAGGUGCGAAAGCGUGGGGAGCAAACAGG
rnacentral:rRNA from 1 species